rnacentral:rRNA from 1 species
AGAACGUCGUGAGACAGUUCGGUCCCUAUCUGCCGUGGGCGCUGGAGAACUGAGGGGGGCUGCUCCUAGUACGAGAGGACCGGAGUGGACGCAUCACUGGUGUUCGGGUUGUCAUGCCAAUGGCACUGCCCGGUAGCUAAAUGCGGAAGAGAUAAGUGCUGAAAGCAUCUAAGCACGAAACUUGCCCCGAGAUGAGUUCUCCCUGAGACUUAGAGUCUCCUGAAGGAACGUUGAAGACGACGACGUUGAUAGGCCGGGUGUGUAAGCGCAGCGAUGCGUUGAGCUAACCGGUACUAAUGAACCGUGAGGCUUAACCUU